rnacentral:rRNA from 1 species
GUUCAGAGANAUNNUUCUUUNUUUUGGGAGCNNGGANCACAGGUGCUGCAUGGCUGUCGUCAGCUCGUGUCGUGAGAUGUUGGGUUAAGUCCCGCAACGAGCGCAACCCCCGUCCUUAGUUGCUACCAUUUAGUUGAGCACUCUAAGGAGACUGCCGGUGAUAAGCCGCGAGGAAGGUGGGGAUGACGUCAAGUCCUCAUGGCCCUUACGGGCUGGGCUACACACGUGCUACAAUGGCGGUGACAAUGGGAUGCUAAGGGGCGACCCUUCGCAAAUCUCAAAAAGCCGUCUCAGUUCGGAUUGGGCUCUGCAACUCGAGCCCAUGAAGUGNAAUCGCUAGUAAUCGGGAUCAGCACGCCACCGCANUAAAA